CAGGACCUGCUGAACCUGGGGCCCUAUAGGAGAGCACUGAUGGCCCACCCCUGAUUGUGGCCCUGGUCUUCAUGUCUGCAUCAGCCUCAGCCAUCUCAAGACCACAACGAGAACAUAGCAAAGUCAGAGAAGGAAGACCAAAAGCACCAGGGCCCUUCAUAUUAUUAAGCUGCUAAAUUAACUAAUCUUGGAAACUUCUAGACUCUACAAUUCUUGUUGUAUGAGGUUUAACAAGUUCAAGUGAGAAGAUAUUGGCCAAAUACAACACAGAGGCUAAACACAACACCUAUGUUGAUUGUUUGGUGCAUAAGAAUUGAGAUGAUGGAAAGAGGUCACUGUGAGCUUCAGGAAUAGCUUGAGGCUAACUGAUAAAACAGAGUGGAUUGACAAUUAUUCUCUGGACUUUUUGGUAACCAAGAACUUCUAGCAACUAACCCUGGCAUGACCACCAGAAUCUGCAGGGCUGAGAGAAGAAAGAAAGGCAAAAGUGGAUGAAUGCAGCUGAAGAUGCUGUGGAACUCCUAUCACAUUCCAAGUGCUGUGUUGAUAUCUGGAGAUAUAGACAAGAUCGAAGCAGAUGCAGUCUUUCACAUGAAUAUUUGAAUCAGGUAUUAAUGGAAUGGCUUCAAUAAUACAGUAAAAUUAAGAUAUUCAAACAAGCAGGAUGCAGGUGAUGGGUAUUGGCCUCAGCUUUAGAGACCAGAGGUUAAAUCUCAAUGCUGCCUGCCACAAAACGAUCCAUGUAAGUCAAUAAACAAUGCUUUUUAAAAUAUU
rnacentral:lncRNA from 1 species